rnacentral:rRNA from 1 species
UACGUAGGUGGCAAGCGUUAUCCGGAUUUAUUGGGCGUAAAGGGAACGCAGGCGGUCUUUUAAGUCUGAUGUGAAAGCCUUCGGCUUAACCGGAGUAGUGCAUUGGAAACUGGGAGACUUGAGUGCAGAAGAGGAGAGUGGAACUCCAUGUGUAGCGGUGAAAUGCGUAGAUAUAUGGAGGGACACCGGUGGCGAAAGCGGCUCUCUGGCCUGUAACUGACACUGAGGCUCGAAAGCGUGGGGAGCAAACAGG